UACGGGGGGAGCAAGCGUUGUUCGGAUUUACUGGGCGUAAAGGGCGCGUAGGCGGUCAGCACAAGUCAGUUGUGAAAUCUCCGGGCUUAACUCGGAAAGGUCAACUGAUACUGUGCGACUAGAGUGCAGAAGGGGCAACUGGAAUUCUCGGUGUAGCGGUGAAAUGCGUAGAUAUCGAGAGGAACACCUGCGGCGAAGGCGGGUUGCUGGGCUGACACUGACGCUGAGGAGCGAAAGCUAGGGGAGCGAACAGG
rnacentral:rRNA from 1 species